AGGGCAUCUCUAAUCUCAUCCCAACAGGAAGUGGUCAGUCAGAGUGAGAUCAUCAAUGCCCUAGGUCGUGACCUGGCCCAGGCUCAUGCUCGGCUCUCUGAUAUGACAGGAGAACUAAGUGAACAGCAGAAGUUAGAAUUGGAAAGUCAUAAAGCUUUGGUGGUAGACCAGAAGAUUCAAUUGAGCAUGCUCACACAGAAGCUAACCAUGAUGUCACAACUAGUGCAACAGAAAGAUGACGAGACAAAGAAACUGGGAGAAAAACUGAGACAAACUGAAGAGGAUCUCGAAAGUAAAGCAGCAGCAAACAGAGAGAUGGAGAACACAAGCCUUGUUCCACAUCAAACCUCAAGAAACACUAAAGAUGUGGCACUCAUGACAGCUCCAAAUGAUGUCAUCAAUCAGGGGUCAAAACACAAAGGUCAUCGCCGCGAGGAAGCGAUUCUUCAACAGCAGGAAGGUUUGCGUGACAUGAGAGAGCGAAUCAGAGCUCUAGAACAGAAGUGGCCUAGCAAGCGUCUGUCCCAGCAGGGGGAGCCAGAGAAACAGGGUCAGAUGAAGACUCAGAGACUUCAGAGAUCUGCAGCUCGGAGAGGAU
rnacentral:lncRNA from 1 species